GGGCAAACUGGGCAGAGGUCAGAGUGCAGUGUAAUGGCCAAACCUGGUCUGGUUAAAGCACAAACGGGGUCGGACGGCAGGGACGGAACGCCGGCCCCCGCCGAGUUCAACGCACACACUCGGAAAAUGUAGG